rnacentral:lncRNA from 1 species
ACAUCAAUGGCCUCAACUCCCCAAUAAAAAGACAUAGAUUAACAAACUGGAUACGCAACGAGGACCCUGCAUUCUGCUGCCUACAAGAAACACACCUCAGAGACAAAGACAGACACUACCUCAGAGUGAAAGGUUGGAAAACAAUUUUCCAAGCAAAUGGUCAGAAGAAGCAAGCUGGAGUAGCCAUUCUAAUAUCAAAUAAAAUCAAUUUUCAAUGAAAAGUCAUCAAAAAAGAUAAGGAAGGACAAUUCAUAUUCAUCAAAGGAAAAAUCCACCAAGAUGAACUCUCAAUCCUAAAUAUCUAUGCCCCAAAUACAAGGGUACCUACAUACGUAAAAGAAACCUUACUAAAGCUCAAAACACACAUUGCACCUCACACAAUAAUAGUGGGAGAUUUCAACACCCCACUCUCAUCAAUGGACAGAUCAUGGAAACAGAAAUUAAACAGUGAUGUCGACAGACUAAGAGAACUCUUGAGCCAAAUGGACUUAACGGAUAUUUAUAGAACAUUCUAUCCUAAAGCAAAAGGAUAUACCUUCUUCUCAGCUCCGCAAGGUACUUUCUCCAAAAUUGACCAUAUAAUUGGUCAAAAAACGGGCCUCAACAGGUACAGAAAAAUAGAAAUAAUCCCAUGCUUGCUAUCGGACCACCACAGCCUAAAACUGGUC